GGGGUUGUAGCUCAGUGGUAGAGCACUUGCCUAGCAUGUAUGAGGCACGAGCUUCAGUUCUCAGUAUCGCAUAUAAAUAAAUAAAAUAAAGGUCCACGACAAGUAAAAAAUAUUUAAAAAACAAAAAACAAACAAACAUAGGAAACUUACACCAUAAAGCAAUCUAAUCAAUAAAUGGGCAAAGAAGUUUGACAGACACUUUCAAAAGAAGUAGCACAAACUGCAAAUAAAUACAAGAAUGUUCAAUACCUUUUUCCA
rnacentral:tRNA from 1 species